AAGGGCUCCGUAGGUCGACCUGCGGAGGAUCAUUACUGAGUGAGGCCUCAACCAGACCUCCAACCCUUUGUGAACACAUCUUGUUGCUUCGGGGGCGACCCUGCCGGCACUACGUCGCCGGGCGCCCCCGAAGGUCUCCAAACACUGCAUCUUUGCGUCGGAGUUUAAACAAAUUAAACAAAACUUUCAACAACGGAUCUCUUGGUUCUGGCAUCGAUGAAGAACGCAGCGAAAUGCGAUAAGUAAUGUGAAUUGCAGAAUUCAGUGAAUCAUCGAAUCUUUGAACGCACAUUGCGCCCUUUGGUAUUCCGAAGGGCAUGCCUGUUCGAGCGUCAUUUCACCACUCAAGCCUGGCUUGGUAUUGGGCGUCGCGGCUCCGCGCGCCUUAAAGUCUCCGGCUGAGCCAUUCGUCUCUAAGCGUUGUGGAUUUUCUAAUUCGCUUCGGAGUGCGGGUGGCCGCGGCCGUUAAAUCUUUAUUCAAAGGUUGACCUCGGAUCAGGUAGGGAUACCCGCUGAACUUAAGCAUA
rnacentral:rRNA from 1 species